rnacentral:lncRNA from 1 species
AUCAAAUAAAUCUGAAAACGAGCAUUGCAGUACCACUUUUUAUUUUAACAAAAAAGAUUACAAUAGAGGGGGACAUUAUUAACUUUAUUGCAAUAACACUAGAAUUUCAAGAUAAUUAAGUAACUUAUAAGAGUAAAGUUGCUACUUCGGAGAGAGCUACAACUAUUUUAUUUCUGAAUAAAAAAACAACAAUUUUAUUUUAGGAAUAUCCAACUUUUCCCCCUUGCUAUUGAAGCAAUCUCACUGAAAGAUUUCAGAGCCAACUCUACUUUUUAUCAAGUAAUUUCUCCAUAACACUGAUCAAAUUUGACAACUUUUCAUACUGCAAAAGAAAAAAAAAUAUAUAUAAAAAAAUAAUUAAUAUAUAUACAUUUGAUGAGAUGAAAAUUAAAGUUGAAAACUAACCUUAGCUUCUAAUUGGGCAAUCUCCAUUGUUUCAAGAUGUUUCUUGUGUUCUUCACUACAAGUACAUGUUGGAAUGUUCUUCAAACUUUCGCUCAGCAAUUUUUGUUCCAGAUGGAGCAUUUCGUAUUCGAGCUUAAGUACCUUAUUUUCCAACUUUGCGCUAAGAUUUGAAAGCACCAUAAAAACUUUAUGAAGAUUGCAAAUUAAAUAACAAACAAAAAGAAAAAGGAAAUUGAAAAGAAACUCACCUGAUAAGUUUUAGUUUUGAACUAGAACCCUGAUUUCCAGAAGCCAUUGGUUAGAGACUAGAGCAAAUUAAGAUAAACCUUUUUUUUCUUGAAUUUGCUAUAUGAUAAGUUGCUUCUCAUGAAUAGAGGAGAAAGCCCUUUAAAUAGAUAGUUUUCAUAAUGUUCUUACUAAAUAUAAUUUUGAAAGUUAAUAUUAUCAUAAUAUAAAAAUAAUGAAUUCUGAAUAUUUAGAAUGAGAAAAUGGUAAGAAAUUAAUUUUGCUAUUCAAUUUUCAUGAGAUUAAUUGAAUGUAACCAAAGAAGGCUUAGCUCUAGACUCUAGAUCUUGAAAUAAAGGGUUUUAGAAACAAAUUUGAAAUUCGACAACUACUUUCCAAAUACUGUGAGUGCCAAAUUUUAGUUCAGAUCAGGAUACCGCUUAUAUAUGAAAAACUGUAGGUACGCAACUAAAAUGGACAUGUCCAACUCGAAACAACUUGCAAAUAUAUGUAAUAGUGGUGUGUGUCAUAUAUUGAUCGAAGAAUUUAUUGUCUACAUAUUGUAUGUUUUUUAUAACAAAAGUAUUUUUAAUUUGUGUGAUCAUUCUAAAAUUAUAUUUGCCUUUCCAUAAGCAUUUGAACUUGGGUUUUAAUCCAUAACGAGGAAUUUUCUAUAAACUUAGCUUAUCAUGUCAUGAAUAAUAUUAAAAUUACAAACAAGGAUUUCAAGUGGAUGGAAAAUCAACACACAGAUUAAAUUAAAUAUUUUUUUAUGGUUGUAUUUAUCGUAAAUAGACUUUAAGCAGCUAGUGUGAUCACAUUUAGUCAAUAAAGUAGAAGAAAACCAUAAACUCUUAAUUUCAAAUCUCAGCUAAGGCAACAGAAAAACAUAUGAUUUAUUUCGAUUUGCCUAACCUUUAAUAGGCUAGCAAUUGUCCGCUGAAAUAAUCGAGUAAGUUGCAUACAAGCUGACCAAGAUUCCACUGUCAAAAAAAAAUAAAGACUUCGAACACUUGAUGACCAAGUUCGAUAUAUUUGAUAAUAUUUCAUCUUUGAACCAAAAGAAGAAAGAAACUACAAAAGUCGCUAAAUUAUCGUGAACCGCGGCCUAAAAAUUUCAUUUCUUGUAUUUAUCGUCUAUACUUACUUAUUCAUGCAUAUUAGUAGUUUUAGGGCUAUAAUACUGGAAUUUCACUUGAUUCCCAGAUUUUUGUCCGUUAUAUCCUACACCAUCUGCAUGCAUCCGGGCGACCGGAUCCGAAUCCCCUAAAAUUUUGCUGGACCAUAAAAAAUGACCUAAGGAACAAUAAUUAUCGCCUCGCCAUGACCGUUCUUCAUUUUGUUUUUGCAUUUUAGGGCAAUAAACUGGAAUUCCCACGAUUCCCAAAUUUUCGAGUGCUAUAGCCCGCGACAUCUACAUGCACAUGGGUGACCGGACUCGAAUCUCCUAAAAUUUUGCCAGACCAUCGAAAAUGAUCUAAGGAACAAUAGUCAUCACCUCUCCAUGGUCGUUCCUCAUUUUUUGGCGUUUUUGGGCUAAUACUGAAAUUUUGCUUGAUUCCCAAAUUUUCGUGUGCCAUAACCCACGCCAUCUGCAUGCAACCGGGUGACCAGACCCCAAUCCCCUAAAAUUUUUUCGGACCAUAAAAAAUGAUAUAAGGAGCAAUAUCAUCGCCCCACCAUGACCGUUCCGAUUUUUUUUGCAUUUUAGGGCCAUAAGCUGGAAUUCCGCCCGAUUCCCAAAUUUUCGUGUGCUAUAGCUCGCGCCAUCUAUAUGCAUCCGGGAGACCGGACCCGAAUCUCCUAAAUUUUUCCAAACCAUCAACGACGACUUAAGGAACAAUAGUCAUUGCCUCGCCAUGAUCGUUUCUCAUUUUUUGGUAUUUUAGGGCCAUAAAGCUUGAAUUCUGCCUGAUUCCCAGAUUUUCUUGUGCUAUAGCCUACGCCAUCUACAUGCAUCCGGACGACCGGACCCGAAUCUUCUAAAAUUUUACCGGACCAUAAAAAAUGACCGGUCGUUUCUCCAUGAUCGUUCUUGUCACGACUCGUAAUUCCAACCUCGGGGUCAUGAUGGCGCUUAACAUCUAAUUGCUAGGCAAGCCGACGUGAGAUAGUUAAAUAGCAAAAUUUUAACAGUUUAACAAGGUGAUAAUAAUUAACGAGAUAUAGGAACUCAAUCUAAUGCAACACCAGCAUAAGUAAUGUGAUAAUAUCUACUCCCAAAGAUUCGGAGUCAUGAGUACACGAGCAACUAGAAGUUCUACAAAAAGAGUUUGAAAAAAAUACAAUUGUUUCGAAUGAAAUGAGGAGUAAAAGAGGGAAGCGGAAGGGGACUCCAAGGUCUGCGGACACUAGCAGAUCUACCUCAAGUCUCCGUAUACAAUAAUCCGAGCUGACGCACCUCACACACCGCUGGGGCCAAUACCAAAAUCUGCACAAGAAGUGUAGAAGUGUAGUAUGAGUACAACCGAGCCAAUGUACUCCAUACGUGUCGAGCCUAACCUCGAGGUAGUGACGAGGCUAUGAUAGGACACUCACGUAAUUAAACCUGUACAAACAUAGAUAUAUGUACAAAACAACAACAAAACAGAGAUUUAACAAUCUAUAAUUAGGAGGGGACAUGUGAAAGGGGAGAAAAGAUACGAUAACUACGACAGGCUUGACAACACAAGAUAGCCAAAUAAAUCACCAACCAAUGAGGACAGAUAAACAUACGGUAUAAAGAUGGCACGACAUCACCCUUUGUGCUUUUACUCUCAUCCUUAGCAUGAAAUGAUGACAUAAGUAAAAUGAAAUGGCACGGCAUCACCCUUCGUGCUUUUACUCUCGAUUUGCUUAUGUAUCAAUGAAUAAUUGGGAAGAAUCGCAUUGCAACACCCUUCGUUCUUUUACUCUCGACCUCACCAUGUAACAAUGAAUAAAUGAUAUAGAUAGCACGACAUCACCCUUCGUGCUUUAGUUCUCUUCCUCACUAUGUAUUAAUCAAUAAAUGAGAUAAUGAAAUGGCACAGCAUCACCCUUCGUGCUUGAACACUCUCCCUUACUAAGUAGUUAAGAUAAUAUAAAUUCGGGAGAUAAAUAGUGUGGAGAAUGUGCUUUACGUCAAAUAUGAUUGCAAGAUACCAAACCUCAACUUCCAGCAUACUCAACCAUUACCAAUUAAGCAAUAAUUACGGAAAGAAUGAUCAAAUAACUAAUAAUCUAAUCUAAGCAUGGAUAUCAUAAUUAAAGGGCAACAAAUCACAAGAAAACAAGUUCCAUACGCAUGCUUUAUCCCAACAACAAUGCAUAAAUGCUCGUCACCUCACAUAUACAUUGUACCCACACGUUAAUCACCUAGCAAAUAGGUAAACAAGUCCUAAUCCCUCAAGUCAAGGUUAACCACGAUACUUACCUCGCUUUGCAAUCAAAUCAAAGCUUAGUCGGGGCCUUUCCUCUAAAAUCCACCUCGAAACCAAUCGAAUCUAAUCAAAUAUCGUUCAAAAAAUUCAAAAUAAGCUUUAGAAACUACCCAUGAGUGAAAAAAGACUCAAUCUUUAAUGACUUCGAAAAAAGUCAAUAAAGGUCAACCCUGGGCCCCGCUUGGUCAAAAUCCUAGAUUCGGACCAAAGCCCAAUCAUCCAUUCAUCCCCGAGCCUGAUUAUGUAAUUAGAUUCGAAAUCCUAUCUCGUUUUGAGGUCUAAAUCCCAAAUUUACAAAAAUCCCUAAUUCUACCCAAAUCCCUAAUUUCUACAAUAAAAAUCCUAGAUUUGAUGUUAAAAACUUAUGGAAUGUAAUGGGUAAUUGAAAAGAAGUAGAUUAAAGUCACUUACUAGUGAGUUUAGGAAGAAACUCUCUUGGAAAAAUUGCCUCUAGGAUGUUUGGGGUUGAGAGUUUGAAAUAAAUGAGCUAAUUCCCGUUUUCCCCACUUUUACCCAGUUGCAGGUAUCGCAAUUGCGAACUACAAAAGCGAUCAACCCUUCGCAAAUGCGAAAAAAUCACUGAGCCUAUUUUCGUUGCAAAUGCGACAAUUUUAUCGCAAAUGCGAACAAAGGCUAUCCGCAAAUGCGAACAAUACUUCGCAAAAGCGAAGCAGUACCAAAUCGGUCAGUGGUCGCAAUUGCGACCAACACCUUCGCAAUUGCGAAGAUACAGAGUCCGCAAAUGCGAAGCCCAUGCUCGCAAAUGCGACUCAUUGUUUGCAAAAGCGAGGCUUGCAUUUGUGAGUCAGACCUCGCAAAUGCGAGAUCUGCAGUCCAGCACCAGAAGCAAACAUGCAUCAACUAUUCUUCUAAGUCCAAAAUCACUCUGUAAGCUAUCUGAAACUCACCUGGGCCCCUCGGGCUCCAAACCAAACAUGCACACAAGUCUAAAAAUAUUAUAUAAACUCUCUCGCGCAAUCAAAAUACAAAAAUAACACCUAGAACUACGAAUCAGACACCAAAAUGACUGAAAUUUUCAAUGAAACUUAAGAACGUGCAAUUUUUUCAACCAUACGUCAGAAUUACGUCAAAUCAACUCCGUUUUGCAUCAAAUUUUGCAGACAAGUCAUAAGAACUGUAAUAAACUUAUACCAAGUUCCGGAAUCACAAUCCGAAUAUGGUAGCAAUGAAGUCAAACUACGAUCAUACUUAUGAAUUCUUUAAACCUUUGAAUUACUAGUUUUAAGAAAAUUACGUUAAUUCAAGUUAGGGAUUUUCGAAUUCGAUUCCGGGCAUACGCCUAAGUCUCAAAUCACGAUACGCACCCAUCGGGACUGUCAAAAUACUGAUCCGGGUUCAUUUGCUCAAAACGUUGACCGAAGUCAACUCAAAUAAGUUUUAAAGCACGAUUUCACAUUUUCAUAAAUUGUCUCAUAAAAUCCUUCAGGAAAUAGGACACAGACUGCACACGCAAAUCGAAAAAGGCUAAACGGAGUUAUUCGAGAUCUCGAAACACUGAAAUAAAGGGUAAAACUAUAAAUGACCUAUCAGGUCAUCACAUUCUCCACCUCCAAAACAAACGUUCGUCCUCGAACGGACAUAGAAAGGUACCUGGACUGGUGAAAAGGUGUGGAUAUCUACUCCGCAUGUCCGACUCGGACUCCCACAUGGCUGCCUUGAUCUGCUGACCUCUCCACUGUACUCGAACUGAAGGAUAACUCUUAGACCUCAACUGUCGGACCUACCGGGCUAGAAAAGCCACCGGCUCCUCCUCAUAAGCCAAAUCCUUAUCCAAUUGGACUGAGCUGAAAUCUAAACACAUGAGACGGAUCACCGUGAUACUAGCAUGGACACAUGGAACACCAGAUGGACUGCUGAUAAACUAGGUGGGAAUGCAAGCUUGUAGGACACCUCACCCACUCUCUUAAAAAUCUCAAAGGGUCUGAUAUACCUAGGGCUUAACUUGCCAUUCUUCUCGAAACUCAUCACACCCAUUCAUGGGUGAAAUCCGAAGAAAUACCCUCUCUCCAACCAUGAAUACAACAUCACGAACUCUACAGUCGGCAUAACUCUUCUGCCUAGAUUGAACGGUGCAUAGUCGAUCCUGAAUAAUCUUGACCUUAUCCAAGGCAUUUUGUACCAAAUUUGUACCCAACAACCGAGCUUCCCCUGGAUCGAACCAUCCAGCAGGUGAACAUCACUGCCUCCCGUAUAAUGCCUCAUAAGAAGCCAUCUAAAUGCUCGAUUGAUAGCUGUUGUUGUAGGCAAACUACGCAAAUGGCAAGAACUGAUCCCAAGAACUCCUGAAAUCCAUAACGCAAGCGCGAAACAUAUCCUCCAAUAUCUGAAUAGUGCGCUCGGACUGCCCGUCCGUCUAGGGAUGAAAUGAUGUACUCAACUCCACCCGCAUGCCUAACUCACGCUGCACGACCCUCCAGAAGUGCGAAGUGAAUUGCAUACCUCGAUCAAAAAUGAUAGACACGGGCACACCCUGAAGAUGGAUGAUCUCACGGAUGUAGAUCUCAGCUAAUCGCUUUGAAGAAUAGGUAACUACCCCUAAAAUGAAAUAUGCCAACUUGGACAACCUUCCCACAAUUACCCAUACCGCGUCGAACAUCUUCUGAGUCUGUGGGAGUCCAACAACAAAAUCCAUAGUGAUACACCAAGACUCUAAUGAUCUCUAACCUUUUAAGCAAACCACCAGGCCUCUAAUGAUCACAUUUUACUUACCGAUAAUUUAGACAUCGAGGUACAUAUGCAACUAUAUCCUGCUUCAUCCUCCUCUACCUAUAAUGUUGCCGCAAGUCCUGAUACAUCUUGGUGGCGUUCUGAUGAAAAAAAUACCGGGAUAUGUGGGCCUCCUCAAGAAUCAACUCGCGAAGCCUGUCCAUAUUGGGCACACGAAUACGGACCUGCAUCCGCAAAACCCUAUCAUAUCCAACAGUAACCUGCUUGGCACCACCGUGCCACGCUGUGACCUUGAGGACAAGCAAAUGGGGAUCAUCAUACUGACGCUCUCUGAUGCGCUCAUACAAGGAAGACCGAGCUACUUUGCAUGCUAGAACUCAGAUGGGCUUUGAAACAUCUAACCUCAACCGAUUUUCCAAAGCUUGAACAUCUGCAGCAAGCGACCUCUUACCAACUGGAAUAUACGCAAGGCUACCCAUACUCACUGCCUUCCUACUCAAGGCAUCGGCCACCAUAUUGGCCUUCCCAGGAUGAUACAAAAUGGUGAUAUCAUAGUCUUUCAACAGCUGCAACCACCUCCUCUGCCUCAAGUUGAGAUCCUUUUGCUUGAAUAAAUAAUGCAGACUCCGAUGAUCCGUGAAUACCUCGCAUGACACACCAUAAAGAUAUUGCCUCCAAAUCUUCAGCGCAUGAACAAUGGUUGCUAACUCCAAGUCAUGAAUAUGGUAAUUCUUCUCGUGAACUUUCAACUACCGUGACGCGUAUACAAUCACCCUGCCAUCCUGUAUCAAUACCGCAUCGAGCCUAAUACGAUAUGUAUCACAAUACAUCAUGUAGGAUACUGAACCUGUGGGAAAUACUAACACUGGCGCCGUAGUUAAAGAAGUCUUGAUCUUCUGAAAGAUCAACUCACACUCAUCCAACCAUCUGAACGGGGCACCCUUCUGUGUUAAUCUAGUCAAUGGGAUUGCUAUGGAUGAAAACCUCUCCACGAACCGGCGAUAAUAACCUGCCAAACCCAGAAAACUCCAGAUCUUUGUAGCUGAAGUAGGUCUAGGCCAGUUCUGAACCGCCUUAAUCUUCUUAGGGUCUACAUUUACGCCCUUUGCCGAUACAACAUGGCCCAAAAAUAUAACUGAGUCUAACCAAAACUCACACUUUAAAAACUUGGCAUAUAAUUCCCUACCUCUCAGUGUCUGAAGUACUAUCCGAUGCUGCUUAUGCUCCUCUCGAUUGCUGGAGUAGAUCAAGAUAUCAUCAAUGAAUACAAUCACAAAAGAAUCUAUUUAGGGCUUGAACACUCGAUUCAUCAAAUCCAUGAAUGUUGCUGGGUAAUUUGUCAACCCAAAUGACAUCACUAGGAACUCAUAAUGCCCAUACCGAGUCCGAAAAGUUGUUUUAGGGACAUCAGAUGCCCUAAUCUUCAACUGAUGGUAGCCGGACCUCAAAUCAAUCUUUGAAAACACUUUGGCACCCUUAAGCUGACCAAAUAAGUCAUCAUUACUCGGCAACUGAUACUUAUUCUUGAUAGUGACUUUGUUCAACUGCUGAUAGUCUAUACACAUCCUCAUCGACCCAUCUUUCUUCUUCACGAACAACACGGGCGCACCCUAGGGCGAGGCACUAGGUUGAAUGAAUCCUUUAUCCAGAAAAUCUUGCAACUGCUCCUUCAAUUCCUUUAACUCUGGCGGGGCCAUAUAGUAUAAUGGAAUAGAAAUGGGCUGGGUGCCCGGAGCUGAAUCAAUACAGAAGUAAAUAUCUCUAUCGGGUGUCAUCCCUGACAUAUCUGUAGGAAACACCUCUGAAAACUCACGAACAACUAGUACUGAAUCAAUGAAAGGAAUCUCCGCACUAGAAUCACGGUCAUAGGCCAAAUAAUCUAGACAUCCCUUCUCGAGCCUUCAUAUAGGAAAUAACUCUGCUGGUAAAGUCACUAAGAGUCCCUCUCCACUCUAAUCGAGGAAAUCCUGACAUGGUUAAGGUCACCGUCUUGGUGUGACAGUCCAAUAUAGCCUGAUAAGGUGACAACCAAUCCCUACCAAACGGAGUAGAGCAUCCUAAAACACUGGAAUGGCUAUGAACCCCUCUGGAACCUGAUAUGCUCCAAUAGGAACAGUCUGAGUUGGAACAUCCUCCUCAAAAUGCACUUGGGGAUCCACUACAGGUGUUGUUGCUCGAGCUCUAGGCUGAGAUCUGCCUCUGCCACUGCCUCGGCCUCUGGCGCGACCUCGGCCUUAACUUUUGCCCCUGGUCGUAGCUGCCACAUGGGGCUUCGGCUCCUGUCCGGCUGUAGAUACGGUGCGUGUUCUCGCCAUCUGCAAGAGAACAAGAAUAGAAUGGUUUAAUCUUCAAUGACAGAAUAAAAUCGCACGAUAGAGAAAGAAUGAAGUAAAAUUUUUCCUAAACUCUAUAGCCUCUGGAAGAUACGUACAAACGUCUCCGUACCGAUCCUCCAGUCUCUACUAAACUUUCUUGAGACUUGUAAGACCUAGGCAACCUAGUGCUCUGAUACCAACUUGUCACAACCCGAAAUUCCAAUCUCGGGGUCAUGAUGGCGCCUAACAUCCACUUGUUAGGCAAACCGACAUGAGAUAGUUAAAUAGCCAAAUUUUAACAGUUUAACAAGGUGAUAAUAAUUAACAAGAGAUAGGAACUAGAAAUUCUAUAAACAGAGACUGAAAUAAAUACAACUGUUUCGAAUGAAAUGAACAGUAAAAGAGGGAAGAGGAAAGGGACUCCAAGGUCUGCAGACGCCAUUAGAUCUACCUCAAGUCUCUAUAUGCAAUAAUCCGAGCUGACGCACCUCACACACCACCAGGGCCAAUACCAAAAUCUGCACAAGAAGUGCAGAAGUGCAGUAUGAGUACGAUCGACCCAAUGUAAUUCGUAAGUGUCGAGCCUAACCUCGACGAGGUAGUGACAAGGCUAUGAUAGGACGCUCAUGUAAUUAAACCUGUGCAAACAUAGAUAUAUGUACAAAACAGCAACAAAACAGAUAUUUAACAAUGUACAAUUGAGAGGGGGCAUGCGAAAGGGGGAGAAAGACACGAUAACUAUGACAUGCAUUACAACACAAUAUAGUCUAAUAAAUCACCAACUAAUGAGGACAGAUAAACAUACGGUAUAAAGAUGGCACAUCAUCACCCUUCGUGCUUUUACUCUCAUCCUUACCAUGAAAUGAUGACAUAAGUAAAAAGAAAUGGCAUGGCAUCACCCUUGGUGCUUUUACUCUCAAUUUGCCCAUGUAUCAAUGAAUAAUUGGGAAGAAUGGCACGACAUCACCCUUCGUUCUCUUACUCUCAAUCUCGCCAUUUCACGACCUGAAAUUCCCACCUUCGGGACCAUGAUGGCACCUAACAUUUCACUUGCUAGGCAAGCCAACAUUAGAAUAAUCUUAAACCUUUUUAAACAAAUUAAAUUAAAUGGAAUUCAAUUACUAAAAUAAAGUAAGGAAGACCAUAACUACCAAAUCAUCAAAAUACUUCCCUGAAUAAAGUUCUGAAUAAAAUUCAAGCUGUUUGAAAGAUAAUACACAGCUAAGAUAAGAUAGAAGGGGAUUUCAGAACUGCGGACGUUGUGCAGUUAUACCUCAAAUCUCCCCUAGGUAGCUGAAUCUGAGCAAGUCUAUGGUAUGCCGAUGGGACCAACUCCAAAGUCUGCACAAGAAGUACAGAGUGUAGUAUGAGUACAACGGACUCAAUGUACUCCUUAACUGUCGAGCCUAACCUCGAUGAAGUAGUGACGAGGCUAUGACAAGACAUAUACGUAAACAAUCUGUACAAAUAUAUACAAAUACGAAGUAACAAUAACACAAUAAAUAACAGUUUAUAAAUUUGGGAGGGAACAUGCGAAUGGGGAUGAUAUAAUAAUUUCAGCAGAAGAAGUGUCAAGUAGCAGCCAAUUAAUUCAUCAACAAUAACAUGAGUAGCUAAUAAUAUGAAAAUGUCCCGGCACCACUCUUCGUGCUUUUAAUCUCAUUCUUCCCAUAAAUUGAUAAAUAAAUAAUAAGAUUGGCACGACAUCACCCUUCGUGCUUUAGCUCUCUUUCUUGCCAUGAAUUGACAAAUAAAUAAUAAUAAUUGGCACGUCAUUACCCUUCGUGCUUUAACUCUCUUCUGGCACGACAUCACCAUUCGUGCUUUUAUAUUUUUUGAAAAUGGCACGACAUCACCCUUCGUGCUGUUACACUCUUUCUCACCAUGACAAGGAUGAUNNNNNNNNNNNNNNNNNNNNNNNNUAUAAAUAAUAUAAAUGGCACGGCAUCACCCUUCGUGCUUUUACACUCUUUCACAAUAUUCAACAAUAAUUAAAUAAAUAAUAAUUUCAUGAAUAAUAAUCAAAUAAUCAAUAAUAAACUUAAGCAUGAAUAUCUUAAUUAAAUAGGCAAUUAUUCAAAAUGAACAUAUUUCUCCAGCAUGCUUUGACUCAGCCACAACGCAUAAGUACUCGUCACCUCACAUAUACGUUGAACCCGCAUAUUAAAUCAAGUAGCAAAUUGGCAAACAAGUCAUACUCCCUCAAGUUAAGGUUAACCACGAUACUUACCUCGAUUUGCAACCAACUCAAGAUUCCAAUAAACUUUUGCCUCACGAAUUAGUAUCUGAAUGCCUCGAAUCUAGUCACAAACAAUUCAAUAUACUCAACACGAAUUAUAGAAAUCAAUUCUAUAUGAAAAUACUAAAUUUUCCAAUUAAAAUCCGAAAUUUAACUCAAAAAUCGCUCGUGGACCUAUGUCUUGGAACCCGACAAAAGUUACAAAAUAUGAACGACCACUCAACCACGAGUCCAACCAUACAAAUUUUAUCAAAUUCUGACAUCAACUCGACCUUAAAAUCCCCAAAUCUUAUUUUCAAAUCCCUAGGCCCAAAUUCUCGAAUUUCACCUCAAAAAUACGUAAUCUAGUCGGAAUAAUCGAUGAUAAUUCAAUAUUAUUGACUAACAAUGAUCACAAGUGACUUACCUCAAAUUUUUCCGUGAAUUCUCGUUUAAAAAUCGCCUCAACCCGUGUUAGAAAUGUCCAAAAUGACAAAAAUGUCGGAACCCUCUAUUUUUGUAAUUUGUCCCGUGCUUUCGCACCCGCGGACACUUAACCUCAUAUGCAGUUCCGCUUUUGCGGAGAAGCUUCCGCUUUUAUGAUUGCCUUCGCUUCUUCGGAAGAGGAUUCCGCUUUUUCGGACUCGCUUCUGGGACGAGGCUGCCCCUUCCCCUUUUCUACUUCCGCGAUGGAUGUGCUGCUUCUGCGGUCGCGCUUUUGCAAGGCAUUGUCCGCUUAUGCAGACCUCACGCUUCUGCGAUGCCAGGCUCUCUUCUGCGAGCUCGCACCUGCGAGCCAAUUUCUGCAGGUGCGAUUGCAUCAGUAUGCAGCAUCAAGUUUCAAUUGUUCUAAGUCUAAAUUUGAUAUGUUAACCAUCUGAAACCGACCCGAGGCCCCCCGGGACCUCAAUCAAAUACACUAACAAGUCCUAAAAUAUCAUACGAAUUUAUUCAAAGCCUCAAAUCACAUCAAACAAUGCUAAAUCACGAAUUAUACCCGAUUCAAGCCUAAUAAAACUAAGAAAUUCUAACUUCUAUAUUCGAUGCCGAAACCUAUCAAAUCAAAUCCGAUUGACCUCAAAUUUUGCAUACAAGUUAUAAAUGACAUAACAGACCUAUGAAAAUUUUCAAAACUGGAUUCCGACUCCGAUAUCAAUGAAAGUCUAUUUGUGAUCAAACUUUGAAAUCUUUAAGCCUUUAAGCUUCAAAUUUUCAAUAAAUGGCGAUAACUCAAUCUAGGGACCUCCAAAUCAAAUUCUAGGCAUACGCCCAAGUCCCAAUUUACGAUACGGACCUACCGGAACUGUCAAAAUACUGAUCUGGGUUUGUUUACUCAAAAUGUUGAUCGAAGUCAACUUAAGUGAGUUUUUAAAGCACUACUUCACAUCUUUAUUAAUUUUUCACAUAAAAACUUUCUGGAAAAAUAUAUGGACUGCGCACGCAAGUCGAGAAAUACUAAAUGGUGUUAUUCGAGUCCUCAGAAUACGGAAAUGAAUAUUUAAUUUAAAGGUGAUCUUUCGGGUCAUCACACACCAUGUAACAAUGAAUAAAUGAUAUAGAUGGCACGACAUCACCCUUCGUGCUUUAAUUCCCUUUCUCACUAUGUAUUAAUCAAUAAAUGAGAUAAUGAAAUGGCACGAGAAUGUGCUUUACGUCAAAUAUGAUUCGAAGAUACCAAACCUCAACUUUCAACAUACUCAAUCAUUACCAAUUAAGUAAUAAUUAUGAAAGGAAUGAUCAAAUAAGAAAUAAUCUAAUAUAAGCAUGGAUAUCAUAACUAAAGGGCAACAAAUCACAAGGAAACAAGUUCCACACGCAUGAUUUAUCCCAACAACAACGUAUAAAUGCUCAUCACCUCACAAAUACGUUGUAGCCACACGUUAAUCACGUAGAAAAUAGGCAAACAAGUCCUAAUCCCUCAAGUCAAGGUUAACCACGACACUUACCUCACUCCGCAAUCAAAUAAAAGCUCAAUUGGUGCCUUUCCUCUAAAAUCCGCCUCCAAACCAAUCGAAUCUAACCAAAUAUCAUUCAAAACAUUCAAAAUAAGCUUUAUAAACUACCAAUGAGUGAAAAAGAUUCAAUCUUUAAUGAUUUUGGAAAAAGUCAACCUUGGGCCCUGCUUUGUCAAAACCUUAGAUUCAGACCAAAACCCAAUCACCCAUUUAUCCCACAGCCCGGUUAGGUAAUUAGUUUCCAAAGCUGACAUCAAUUUGAGGUCUAAAUCCCAAAUUUAUAAAAAUUCCUAAUUCUACCCAAAUCCCUAAUUUCUACCAUAAAAAUCCUAGAUUAGAUGUUGAAAACUUAUGAAAUAAUGGGUAAUUGAAAAGAAGUAGAUUAAAGUCACUUACUAGUGGAUUUAGGAAGAAAAUCUCUUGGGAAAAUCACCUCUAGGGUGUUUGGGGUUGAGAGUUUAAAGAAAUGAACUAAUUUCCGUUUUUUCCUCUUUUAUCCAGUUGCAGUUAUCGCAAUUGCGAUGCACAGUUCGCAAUUGCGAUGAUCGCAAAAGCGAUCAACCCUUCUCAAAAGCAAAAAAGUCACUAAACCUGUUUUCGUCGCAAAUGCGAGAAAUUUAUCGCAAAUGUGAACCAAGAUUGUCCGCAAAUGCGAACAAUACUUCGCAAAAGAGAAGCUGUACCAAGUCAGUCAGUGGUCGCAACUGCGACCAACACCUUCGCAAUUGCGAAUAUAUAGAGUCCGCAAAUGCGAAGAAUUGCUGGCAAAUGCGUAAUCUUCCAAACCCAACUCAUGCUCGCAAAUGCAACUCAUUGUUCGCAAAAGCGAGGCUCGCAUUUGCGAGCUAGACCUUGCAAAUGCUAGAUCUGUAGUAGUCCAACACUAGAAGCAAACAUGCAUCAGCUAUUCUUCUAAGUCCAAAAUCACUCCGUAGCCUAUCCGAAACUCACCCGGGCGGAUCGGGCUUCAAACCAAAAAUGCACACAAAUCCAAAAACAUCAUACGAAGUCACUCGUGUGAUCAAAAUACCAAAAUAAUACCAAGAACUAUGAAUCAGAUAUCAAAACGAAUGAAAUUUUUAAUGAAACUUAAGAACAUGAAAAUUUUCAACCGGACGUCCGAAUAAUGUCAAAUCAACUUCGUUUUGCACCAAAAUUUACAGACAAGUCAUAAAUACUGUAAUGAAUUUAUACCAAGUUGCAAAACCGUAAUCCGAACCCGGUAGCAACGAAGUCAUACUACGGUCAAACUUAUGAAUUCUAUGAACCUUUAAAUUACUAGUUUUCAGCAAAUUGCGUUAAUUCAAGUUAGAGACUUCCGAAUUUGGUUCCAGGCAUACGUCUAAGUCCUAAAUCACGAUGCAGACCCACUGAGGCCGUUAAAAUACUAAUCCGGGUCCAUUUUCUCAAAAUGUUGAUCUAAGUCAACUCAAACGAGUUUUAAAGCACGAUUUCACAUUUUCAUAAAUUCUCAUUAAAACUUUCCGAAAAUAGGACACAGCCUGCACAUGCAAAUUGAGAAAAGAUAAACAGAGCUAAUCGAGGUAUCGGAACAUAAAAAUGAAGGGUAAAACUACAAAUGACCUAUCGGGUCAUCACAAUUCCUUGUUUUUUGGUAUUUUUGAGCCAUAAUAUUGAAAUUCCGUUCGAUUUCCAAAAUUUCGUGUUAUAGCCCAUGACAUCUGCAUGCAUCCGGCCAAUCGGACUCGAAUCCCAUAAUAGUUUGUCGGACCAUCAAAAAUGACCGAAAGAACAAUAGGCAUUGCAUCGCCAUGACUGUUCCUCAUUUUUUUUAUUUUAGGGCCAUAAUACUGGAAUUCCGCUUGAUUCUCAAGUUUUCGUGUGUUAUAACCCACACCAUCUGCAUGCAUCCAGGUGACCAGACUCGAAUCCCCUAAAAUUUUGCCGGACCUAAGAAACAUCAGUCAUCGCCUCGUUAUGACCGUUCCUCAUUUUCUGGCGAUUUAGGGCCAUAAAAGUGAAAUUCCGCCCGAUUUUCAGGUUUUUGUGUGCUAUAACCCAUGCCAUCUGCAUGAAUCUGGGCGACCGGACCCGAAUCCCCUAAAAUUUGGUCGGACCAUUAAAAAUGACCUAAGGAACAUUAGUCAUCCCCUUGACAUGCCCGUUCCUCGUGUUUGGCAUUUUAGGGCCAUGAAGCUAGAAUUCCGUCUGAUUCUGAGAUUUCAAUGUGCUAUAGCCUACGCCAUCUGCAUGCAUCCGGGCAACCAGACCCGAAUCUCCUGAAAUUUUUCCGGACAAUAAAAAAUGACCUUAGAAGGCCGAGAUUUCAAUGUGCUAUAGUCGUUGCCUCGUUAUGACCGUUCCUCAUUUUUUGGUAGUAUAAGGUCAUAAAAUUGGAAUUCCGCUUGAUUUUUAAUUUUUCGUGUGCUAUAUAGCCCACGCCAUCUGUAUGCAUCCGAGCAACCGGACCCGAAUAGUCUAAAAUGUUGCAGAAUCAUCAAAAAUGACCUAAGGAACAAUAGUCAUCGCCUAGUCAUGACCGUUCCUUUUUUGUUUUUGGCAUUUAAGGACCAUAAAACUAGAAUUCCGCUCGAUUCUCAAAUUUUCGUGUACUAUGGCCUAUGCCAUCUACAUACAUCCCGGCGAUCGGACCCGAAUUUUCUAAAAUUUUGCCGGAUCUUAAAAAUGACCUAAGGAACAAUAGUCAUCAACUCGCAAUAACCGUUCCUCGGUUUUUGGCGUUUUGGGGCCAUCAAACCAGAAUUUCGUCUGAUUAUCAUAUUUUCGUGUGAUAUAGCCCAUGUCAUCUGCAUUCAUCCAGUCGACAUCCAAAUCACCUAAAAUUUUGCUGGACCGUAAUAAUGACCUAAGGAACAAUAGUCAUCGCCUUGCCAUGACUGUUCCUCGUUUUUGGUGUUUUAGGACCAUAAAACUAGAAUUCUGCUUGAUUCUCAGCUUUUCGUAUGUUAUAGCCCGCGCCAUCUACAUGCAUCCGGGGGACCACACCCGUAUCCCCUAUAACAUUUUGCCGGACCAUCAAAAAUGACCUAAGGAACAAUAGUCAUCGUCUGGCCAUGGCUGUUCCUUAUUUUUUGGCGUUUUAGGGCCAUAAUUCUAGAAUUCCGCUUGAUUCCUAGAUUUACGUCUACUAUGACCCAGGACAUCUGCAUGCAUCCGGGGGACUGGACCCGAAUCCCCUAAAAUUUUGCCGUACCAUAAAAAUAUCUAAUUAAAAUAGUCAUCACCUCGCCAUGACCGUUACUCAUUUUUUAGUAUUUUAGGGCCAUAAAACUGGAAUUCCGCCCGAUUAUGAGAUUUUCGUGUGCUAUAGCACGUUUCAUCUACAUUCAUCCGGGCGACCGGACCCGAGUCUCCUCAAAUUUUGCCGGACCAUCAAAACUGACCUAAAGAAUAAUAGUUAUCGCCUCUCCAUGGCCGUUCCUCUUCUUUUGACAUUAUAGUGCCAUAAAACUGAAAUUCUAGGCGACCAUAAACUCUUAAGUUCAAAUCUCAGCGAAGGCAACAAAAAGCGUAUUAUUUAUUUCGAUCUGCCUAAGCUUUGGUAGGCUAGAUUUGGCAUUUUAUGUCAAUUAAACUUGUGCUAUAGCCCAUGCCAUCUGAAUACAUCCGGGCAACCAGACCCGAACUCCCUAAAACUUUGCCAGACCAUCAAAAACGACCUAUGAAAUCGCGUGUCCAUGACUGUUCUUCAUUUUUUUGUGUUUUAGGGCCAUAAUACUAGAAUUUCGUCUGAUUCCCAGAUUUUCGUGUGCUGCCCAUACCAUCUGCAUGCAUCCGGGUGAUCGGAUCUGAAUCCUCUAAAAUUUUACCGGAACAUCAAAAACGAUUUAAGAAACAUUAGUCAUCGCCUCAACAUGAUCAUUCCUCGAUUUUGGCAUUUUAGGGCCAUGAAACAGGAUUCUUCCUAAUUCCAAGUUUUUCGUGUGCUAUAGCCCACGCCAUCUGCAUGCAUCCAGGUGACUAGACCUGAAUCUUCUUAAAUUUUGUCGGACAAUCAAAAACCAACUAAGGAACAAUAGUCAUUAUCUCGCUAUGAGCGUUCCUUGUUUUUUGGCGAUUUAGGGCCAUAAAACUAGAAUUUCGCCUGAUUCACAGAUUUUCGUGUGUUAUAGCCCACGCCAUCUGCAUGCAUCCGACAACAAAAACAUACGAUUUUGUUUCGAUAUGCCUAAGCUUUGAUAGGCUAGCAGUUGUCCGCUAAAAUAAUCGAGUAAGAUGCAUGCAAGCUGACCAAGAUUUCACCGUCACAAAAAAUAAAGACUUCAAACGCUUGAUGACCUAAAGUUCGAUAUAUUUGAUAAUAUGUCAUCUUUGAACCAAAAGAAGAAAGAAACUACUAAAGUUGCUAAAUUAUCGUAAAUUGCGACCUAAAAGUUUCAUUUCUUGUAUUUAUCGACUAUACUACUUAUUCAUGCUUAUUAGUAGUAUAUUUUAACCUGUAAAGUUCCAGAGAAAAAAGUUGCAAAUAUGAUUGCACCAAAAUUUGAUAAAAGAAAAAGAAAACAAAUUGACAUGCUUGCUAACAUCACAAUGACCUAGUUUCCUACAGAGUCACACACAUCAACGCAAAUUAAGUAAUUACUUCAAAUUAUAAUUUUUCUAUAAAUAAUCAUCAUUAAAUUAAAAAAAGGAUCUGACAACUAGAAAAAUCUUCCUCUUAUUUAUCUAUUUAAUUAUGUAUUUACUUAUUUACUUCCCUACUAAUUUGUUUAGUUAUUUAUUGUCUGUUGGUUCUUUUUCUUUUUCCUUUUUGGGUUUUUUCUUACUCUCUUAAAGUCACUUAUAAAAACUCUAAAACAGUGGAUUAAUUCUUCACUUCUUUUUUUCCUCUGGUGUUCUUUUUUUCUUCACAUUCAUGGAUUCGCCCAGUGGGUCUAGUUCUGAUGAACAAAUUCAGAAGCUAGAAGAGUGAGUUUUGUUGAAUAAUUUUAAGUCUCUCUUUUUUUGGUCCUUUUGAUUUUUGAUGUUCUUAUUCAUUCGUGAUGUUGUUCGUUUCGAAUAGUGUUUAGUCAUAAGCUUGUUCAUUUGGUCUUCACUUGUCUGUAUUUUUUCCAUUCUUUUCCGACUAUUUUUUCCAAUUUAACAAUUUCAACACCGCACCACUUUUCCAAGGCAACACAUGAUCUAUUUUUGGUGGUUAUCAUAGCUUUCUCUGUGCAUCAAUCUUAGUGUUUAAAGAUACUAUAUGUUUAACUCACUUUCUUAUAUUUUUUUUUGUUUUUUUCUUUUGUUUUAGGAUCUUAUCUUAGCUUUGUUUUCUAAUUUAUCAUGGAUGUGACAAUUUCCUUUUUUUUAUUUUAAUAUGUUUGAUCUACUUGGUUUUUAGUGUUUUACAUCUUCAUCUUAUUUUCUCCGUCCAUCAGUAGAUUCACAUGUUUCACUUCAUUAAUUUUAAGAAAGUAAAACAGAAAGGUUGAUGCAAUUAAGUAAAUCAAGAAGGAGAACGAUUUCUUACCUAGUUAUAAAUUUUAAUUCAUUCUCAACCCAGAUUCAAUUAACUUUUUUUCCUUUUUUGGAAAAAAAGAUUGUUGAUUACCACUUGCGGUCUCUCUCUAUUACAAAUAAAUUUUGCCUCUUGUCAUAUAGGGAGAGAGGGAGACCAUCAAAUCAGUUGGCUUAACUCUGAAAAUUAAGUAACAAGAAUCUGGUUCACAAACUUGCAAAACUUCCCCUAAAGCUAAUCUUAAUUAUUUUUUUAUUUGUUUAAUACGUGUUUGGUUUCUAUCAACUGGAUUUUUCCUCAUUGUAACAAAUUUUGUUUUUUUCCUGACUAGGGUGUUUAGUCAGACGCCAAAUCCAGAAAAUGAUGUGAUAGAGAAACUGAGUGAGGAGCUAGGGCUUGACACCAAUCACGUCAAAAUUUGGUUUGAUAACAAAAGAUGCUACAUCCAGGUUCUUUUAAUAUUUUGAUAGUUUAUUUAAUUACUUAAUUAUAAAUGCUAGUAGUCGAGCUGCGUUGAUAUAAAUUCCUCUCUUCUCCACUCAUUGUUAUCACAGCAAUCAUCAUUUCGUCAUAGUUUUGCUUCUUUUUUUUUUUUAGGGAUAUGUUUGUUUUCUUUCUUUUUUGUUUAGAAAUGUACCUACUCUUGAUUUAAAUUGACGAAUUAUGAUCCAAAUUUACACUAAUUUCAGGCACAAAGGGAUAAGGAAGAAGGUGAAAAUCUUCGUUUGGAAAACUCAAGAUUACUUUCAGAGAACUUGCAAAUGAGUUUGGAGUUGAGGAAUCGCCUUUGUGCUACUUGCAAUCCUGAGAAACAAAGAAAAUUACUACAAGACUUGCAAAAUGAAAAUGCUAUAUUACAAACCGAGGUCAACCUUCAUUUCCUAUUAAAUUUUGCUUUUCUACAUAUACUAUUACUCAUUUAGGCUUCUUCUUUUUUCCUACAGCUUACAAUAAUAUCCAAAAUGCAUGACCAUUUGAAGGAAAACCCUGAAAGAUACUUGUUAUUAAAAUAUCAUCUGCGUAACUACGAUAAUCCAAGUGGACUAGACUUGGAUCUUAAAGUGGAAUGUGAUCACAAUUUUCCAAGAUUGAAUUGGAAUUGACUGAAGGCUGUUUGAUGGUUGAAAAGUUCAAUGAUGGAAGUUUUUAGUGGUAUUUCAACUGAUUUUUUGUAUCCUCUCAAGUAUCCUGAACAAACACUAGUUGCUAGGUUUCAAUAUUAGCGGCUGACGCAAAUAUGCUAUUAAUUAGUGACUGAAUUGCUCAACCUCAACGAGGACCCAAACGAGGAUACGUAACGUCACCAGAGUGACGGACAAUCUAGAUGAAGCUUUGUGUGUAUCUAAUAACUAAAUUAAAUAAAAUACGUUCUUUUCUUCGUUGAUGACUUUAGUAGAAAGACUUGAGUUUAUUUCUUAAACCAAAAAUCUAAAACUUUUGCUGAUUUUAAUUACUUUACCAAAAAGAAAAUUACAAUUAAAGUUAUUAUAAUCAAUUUUGAGUUUAGAAACUUUCCCUUACUAAGAUUGGUGCACAUUACUGUCGAGCCAUGAACUCCUUAUUGUGAAAAUUAGUGUAUUAUUAAUUUCUGUGGCAAGUUGUAAUAUUUGAGCUCUUGAUGUGCAAUUUGUCAUAUUGGCGCGUGAUAUUGUUGAGUUUGUUCGGAUGUUUGUACGAGGUUUUUUUCGUGCUAUUGUUACUAUUGAUAUAUGCACAUGAGGCAUGACAAGGUGGGCUAUAUAUGUAGGUUUGCGCAUGUGGCGAGACAAGGCGGGCAUUUACUUUAUUAUUGUGCAUGUGGCGAGACAAGGUGGGCUAUGUCGUGGAUAUAUUUGUGAUGACUUGUGAUGGUCUGGGGGCAUUGUAUGUUGUUGAUAUUUAUGAUUUGGGACUACGAGGCGGUACCUCGGGAGUGCCCUUUUUAAUGAUAUUUCUCUAUGGACUUGCCUUUGGUUAAUUUAUUUUUCCGUAAUAUGUAAAUUCAUGUGUUCUCCGUGAUGUAUUAUUUGACUUAAUAUUAAGUGUUUUGUAUUGCUUGUAGUAUUGUGUUGGCUUUGGCUUUUUCGUACGAGACUUUUGAGGAAUUGUAUUUCUGGUUUGUACUUGUUCUUGAUGCUUGAUUUGGUUUAAAUAAAAUAAAUUUACUAUUAUGUUUUAAUUUGAUAAGUUUUACAUCAAAAUCAGUAGUUUAUCUGAUGCUUUAUUUAAAUUGAAAUGUCAUUUUCUUCACUCAAACUAUUUCUAAAAUAAACUCAUUUCUUUGUUGAAUUCUUACUUGGUUUAAAAUUGUAACAUUACUUUAUUAAAAAUAAAUUAAUCGUGCGGAUUUUAUGUAUUGACAUAUUUGGCACGAGAGUUGUCCGUGCGGUUGUGAUAGAGAUAUGAGAACGAUGUGCCGUGAGAAUACAAAAGGGGGCUGAGAACCAUAUUUUAUGAUUAUGAUAUGAGAUAUUUAUUUGAAAGAGUUUUAUAUUCGAAGGAUACUUAUUUGAAGAAAUAUGUUUGGAGGGUAUUUAUUCGAAAGAAUUAUAUGUGAAAGAUUUAUAUGUGAAAGAUUUAUAUUUGAAGGACUUGUUUAAUUGGUUAUACUUGUGUUUCUUAUUCGUCUGAGUAAUAAUUAUGGAGUUCUUGCUGUCAUACUGUUUAUAUCACUAGUUGAUUAUUGUUGAUAUCACUCCUAUUUAUUUUCGAUUAUUUUUGUAUGCUAUAUUGCAAAUGUUAUCUGACUAGUGAGUGUCUUGACUGUAGCUUGUCACUACUCCACCGAGGUUAGUCUUGAUACUUAUUGGGUACCAACUGUGGUGUACUCAUACUACACUUUUGCACAUUUAUGUGCAGAGCCAGAUAAUUUGGAGUCAGUUGACCGCUAGCUAGCUGUACGGAUCUUGAUGUGGAGACUCAAGGUAAACCUGUUGCUGCGUUCACAGGCUGCGGAGUCACCUUCUGAUAUUAUACUUGCACUGUUUUAUCUCUACUCCAAAACAGUUGUACUUAUAGACUUUCUAUUAACUCAGUAGAGCUUAUGACUUGUACUACCGGUUUUGGGAUUGUAAGUAUUGUAUAGAGAUUUCUACUUCCCAUUUGUCCAUCGUUAAUUAAUAUUGUUAUUAUUUUAGUAAAUGUUAGGCUUACCUAGUCCCUAAGAUUAGGUGCCAUCACGACAUCCUACGGAGGGAGAUUUGGGUCGUGACAAAGUUGGUAUCAGAGCGCUAGGUUCAUAGGUGCUACGAGUCAUAAGCGAGUUUAGUAGAGUCUUGCAGAUCGGUACGGAGACGUCUGUACUUAUUUUCGAUAGGCUACGGAACUAUUAGGACAGUUUCAUUUCUUUCAUUCCUAUCGUGCGAGUUUAUUGAUCUCGGUGUUUGAGUUUUUAUCAUUCUAUUCUCUCACAGAUGGUGAGGACACGAGCUGCAGUUACCGAUGACGCUGCCCCCGGAGAAGGUGUCGCUAGGGGCAGAGGAAGAGGCCAAAGAGGAGCACGUGCCGCAGCUAGGGCACCUACCAGAGCAGUAGUUGAGGAGCCGCCAGUUACCAGAGGUGCCUGCUGUUACCCUUGGACUUCAAGAGACCUUAGCACAGUUCCUGAACAUGUUUGGUACAUUGGCUCAGGCGGGGGUUGAUUCUGAUUGCACCAACUACUUCACAGAUCGGGGGAGGGACUCAGACUCCCGCCGCCCGUACCCUAGAGCAGCGAGUCCACAUUGGCCAGGUUCCAGGAGUCAUGGCGACUCAGCCUAUGGUCCCAGUUCAACCCAUGGUUAGGACCGCGAUAUCUGAGGAAGAACAACUUAGACUUGCAAGGUUCAUGAAGUAUGACCCUCCUACUUUUAGUGGUUUGGCUUCAGAAGGUGCACAUGAUUUUCUAGAGGAGUGCCACCGCAUUCUCUGCACUAUGGGUAUUGUAGAGAUGAGUGGAGUUGCUUUUACUACAUUCCAUCUUAAGGGAGCGUCAUAUCAGUGGUGGCGAGCGUAUAAGUUUGAUAGCCCGGCCGAUGCAGCUUCACUUUGAUGGUCUCAAUUUUUGGAGAUAUUCCUAAGAGAGUUUGUUCCUCAGUCCCUUCGGGAUGCAUGGCACGCGGAGUUUGAGUAGUUACGCUAGGGCACUAUGUCAGUGUCAGAGUAUGCCGUUAGAUUCAGUGAUUUGUCCAGACAUGCACCGUCUUUGGUCACUACAGUUAGAGAGCGAGUCCGUAGGUUCAUUAAGGGGCUCAGACAUAAUAUCCGGUUCAGCAUGGCUCGGGAGUUGGAGUCAGAUGUUCCAUUUUAGCAGGUGGUAGGGAUCACUCACCGAUUGGAGGGCAUGUGGGGCCAGGAGAGAGAGGACAGGCGGGGCCAGGAGAGAGAGGACAGGCGGGGCCAGGAGAGAGAGGACAUAUAGUGCCAAUAAAGAGAGGACAUACGGGGCCAGGCUGAGAGGCCUCGCAGAUCGGAGAGACCUUCUAAUCCUUAUUUUGGAGGCAAGGUACGACAUGGUAGAGGUUUUGUGGGUUAGCCAUUUCAGUUUACACUUUCGGCUCCGCACGAUGUUUCAGAUGCUCAUGGGUCUCAAAGUACCUGUACCACACAGUUUCCAUAGCCACGUCAGCAGAGAGGUUGCUUCGAGUGUGGAGAUACCAGCCACCUGGUGAGAGAUUAUCCCAGUCUCAGGACAGAUGUGUCACAACGGGGUAUUCAGGUGAGUAGAGGGCGCGCAAGAGGGGGAGGCCCGACCCAUUAAUAUAAUUGUUAUGAAUUGAUUGAGGCCGCUACACCAAAUAGUGUCGUUACAGGUACGAUCCUGAUUUGUUAUAAAAGGAUAUUUCUCCUUAAUUUGAUUCGGUUCUGGAUAUCGAGGCGAGUCCUCCUAUUAUGCUCCACUUAUGGGUGAGCUUCAUAAUUUUGUGACCCACUUAUAUGUUUUAUCCCUGUGGGGAGAUUUGAUGGUGUUAGCCCGUGUCUAUCAAUUUGUUUUAUAUACUAUUGUGGGUUAUGAGUCUAAAAGUGACUUUUUAGUACUCACUAAAGUGGGUUUGAUGUAAUUUCGGGGUAAUUGAUUACAAUUUUAUGAAUUAUAUGUCCUACCGGUAUGGGAGUUCAUAAUGUAUUGUGAAAUUGUCUCACGAAAUUUAUUAAAGAGAAGAAAUAAAAGAAAUAGAAAAUUUUAGUUAGCACAGUGUGCAAAGUACUUGUGAUUUAGAGUUGAGAACGAGAUCCUCACAUAUUUAUAUUAUGUGAAAUAUUCAAACUGGGCUAAUUUAUAUGACGAGGUCCUUGUGAUGAAAAUUUAUGUGUUUAAAUUCUCCAUUUAUGAAAUUUAAUUUGUACUAUAGUACUAAUAGGGAGUCAUGCUUGUUAGACUUAAUUAAUAAUUUUUUUAUGUGAUUCUGUGCAUAUUUAGCCAUAAUUGUGUUGUAAUUAUUGAGUUUUAGCCCCACGAUGUGAGUGCCCAGGUGACGUUAAAUGUGACUCAUUAAUUCGGGUAAAUUGCUAUCAGUAUUGCAAAAUUUUGAAACGAGGGUUUGAUUAAUAUGAGGUUAAUUGAGGAUGCUGGAAUUAAUAAUGAACAACUAUUAUGACUAGAGGUGUGGUUAUGGGCAUACAUAUGACGUGUGCGUAGGAACGAGUUGCUAUAGCCGGUUGAAACUAAUACUGUGCGUUGAUGUGAAAAUGAGGCCUUUUGAAAAUAUUUGAAGUGUAAGAAAUUGGUUUUAAAAUGUAUAAAUAUGGAUAAAAGGAAAUAAUCACAACUGAGAUGGUGUUGUAAAACCCAUGUUAAAUUUACGGUGACGUAGAAUCACUUGCGAGUAUGUGUGUAAGAAUACACUCAAUAAUUUAAUGUCCUCAGAAUAAUUCUUGGCACGUUCGAGGACGAACAUAUACUUAAGAGGAGGAGAAUGUAACAACCCGACUUGUCGUUUUAAGAAUUAGCGUCUCGUUUAGCAACUUAAGGUCUCGAGCAGCUUUGUGAUGUGUAUUAUGACUUGCGUGGGUGAUCGAGUUUGAUUUUCGGAUGAUUCAGGAUUUAAUUGAAAGAAUAAUUCUUACUUUUGAAGCAUAAACAAAAAGAGUUGACUGGAGUCAAUUUAUGUGUAAACGAUCCUGGAAUACAGUUUUGAUGAUUUCAAUAGCUCUGUAUGGUGAUUUUGGACUUAGGAGCAUGUCCGAAUUUUUUAUUUUUUGGAAGUCCGUAGUUCAAUUAGGCUUGAAAUGUCUAAAAUAUAAAACUUAAGUUUGGAAGUUUGACCGGGCAGUUGACUUCUUGAUAUCAGGGUCGGAAUCCGAUUCUGAAAAUUUGAAUAGGCCCGUUAUGCCAUUUAUGACUUGUAUGCAAAAUUUGAGGCCAAUCAGACUUGAUUUGAUAGGUUUCGGCAUCGAAUGUAGAAGUUGAAAAUACUAAGGUUUUAUUAAGCUUGAAUUGGGGUAUGAUUCGUGGUUUUAGUGUUGUCUGAUGUGAUUUAAGAUUUCGACUAAGUUCGUAUGGUGUUUUAGGGCUUGAUGGUGUAUUUGGUUGGGGUCCGGGGGACCUCGGGUGUGUUUCGGGUGAGUUUCGGAUGGUUAACAGAUCAAAUUUGAACUUAGAACAAUUGAAACUUGUUGGUGCCUACUGAUGCAAUCGCACCUGCGGAAAUUGGCUCGCAGGUGCGAGCCCGCAGAAGCGAGCAGUGGCUGGUGAGGCAGAGUGCGCAAGUGCGAGCAUUUUUCCGCACCUGCGAGUUCGCAGGUGCGAAGGGAAGAGCGCAAAAGUGAAAAUGGAGAGGAGGUCGGGCAGCACAGGUGCGAAAUUUUGGGCCGCACCUGCAAGACCACAAAUGCAGCUAUUUCAGUCGCAGGUGCGAAAAGCCCUGGACAGAACAUAUAAUUCGGGGGUUGGCCAUUUGUACCUAUUUGUUUUGGAUAUAAAGAGCUCGGGUGAGGCGAUUUUUCAAGGAAAAUAUCGGGGUAAGUAUUCUUAACUCAAUUUUGGUUAAAGUACCCGAAUCCAUGGUUGUUUUAACAUUUAAUUGGUGAUUUAAGUUGGAAACAUUCAAAAACCCUCCUGGUUAAAUUGAAGAUUUGAGGGUCGAGUUGAUGUCGGAAUUUGGUAAAAUUUGUAUGGUUGGACUCGUGGUUGAAUGGGCGUUCAUAUUUUAUAACUUUUGUCGGGUUCCGAGGCAUGGGCCACACGGGCGAUGUUUGAGUUAAAUUUCAGAUUUUGUUGGAAAAUUAGUAUUUUUAUAUAGAAUUAAUUUCAAUAAUUUGUAUUGACUGAAUCGAAUUAAUUGUGACUAGAUAAGAUACUUACGGAGGCCAAUCCAUGAGGCAAAGGCACAACUGAGUAAAGAAUUUCACGGUUUGAGGUAAGUAUCUUGCCUAACCUUGAGUGGAGGAAAUUACCCCUUAGGCAUCGAGUCUUAUGUGAAAAUGGUGUAAUUGUAAACCAUGUACGCGAGGUGACGAGUAAGUACUUAGUUUAUAUGUGCAAAUUACAUUGGUUGAAAUUCAUAGGCACCCUUACGAAAUAAAUUGGAAAACUGUUGGAACAUAGUAAAUCCUUGUUUGUUGAAUUUGUUUUUAUAUGAUAAUUUGGUGUGAUUGUCACCUUAAUUUUUAUGUGAAUCCCGUAUUUAUUUUUUUGAGUUGAUAUUUAUUGGAGAUAAUUUCAUUAUGGAUUAUUCACUUGCAAAUAAUUUAUUAAAUAAGUUUUUAAAGGAGGCAUUAAUAUAAUUGCCAAAAGUUUUGGAUUAAAGAAGGCGUUGUUCCUUGAUGAUUUAUUUUUCAAUUCGUGUUGUGGAAAUUAGUAUUGAGUUAUAAAGGCAGUAAAUCAUAUUGAGGUAAAGUAUUAAAUUGUGAAAUAUUAUUCUGUUGAGUUGUUCACUCCCGGACAUUUUUUAAGAUUGGUGCACAUUAUGGUCGAGCCAUGGGAUCCUUAUUGUGGAAAUUAAUGUAUUGUUUAUUUCUGUGGCAAGUUGUAUUAUUUGAGCACUUGAUAUGCAAUUUGUGAUAUUGGCGCGUGAUAUUGUUGAGAGGUUUGUUCGGAUGUUUGCACGAAGUUUCUGCCGUGCUAUUGUUACUAUUGAUAUAUCCACAUGCGGCGUGAUAAGGAGAGCUAUAUAUGUGGGUUUGCGCAUGUGGCGAGACAAGGUGGGAAUAUUAUUGAGCGCGUGCGGCAAGACAAGGAUGGCAUUUACUUUAUUAUUGCGCACCUGGCGAGACAAGGUAGGAUAUGUCGGGGAUAUAUUUGUGAUGACUUGUGAUGGCCUGAAGGCAUUAUAUGUUGUUGAUAUUUAUGAUUUCGGACGACGAGGUGGUACUUCGGGAGUGACCUUUUUGAUGAUAUUUCUCUAUGGUUGCACUUUCCUUUGGUUAAUUUAUUUUUCCGUAAUAUGAAAAUUCAUGUGUUCUACAUGAUAUAUUAUUUGACUUAACAUUAAGUAUUUUAUAUUGCUUGUAGUGUUAUGUUGGCUUUGGCUUUUUCGUACGAGACUUUUGAGGAAUUGUAUUUCUGGUUUGUACUUGUUCUUGAUGAUUGAUUUGAUUUAAAUAAAAUAAAUUUACUAUUAUGUUUUAAUUUGAUAAGUUUUACAUCCAAAUCAGUAGUUUAUUUGAUGUUUUAUUUAAAUUGAAAUGCCAUUCUCUUCACUCAAACUAUUUCUAAAAUAAACUCAUUUCUUUGUUGAAUUCUUACUUGUUUUAAAAUUAUAACCUUACUUUAUUGAAAAUAAAUUAAUCGUGCGGAUUUUAUGUAUUGACAUAUUUGGCACGAGAGGUUUCCGUGCGGCUGUGAUAGAGAUAUGGGCACGAGGUGCCGUGAGAAUACGAAAGGGGAUUGAGAACCGUAUUUUAUGAUUAUGAUAUGAGAUAUUUAUUUGAAAGAGUUUUAUAUUCGAAGGAUACUUAUUAUUUGAAGAAAUAUAUAUUGAAGGUAUUUUUUCGAAAGAAUUAUAUGUGAAAGAUUUAUAUUUGAAGGACUUAUUUAGUUGGUUGUACUUGCGUUUCUUAUUCGCGUGAGUAAUAAUUAUGGUGUUCUUGCUGCCUUACUGUUUAUAUUACUAGUUGAUUAUUAUUGUUAUCACUGCUAUUUGUUUUCGAUUAUUUUUGUAUGCUAUAUUGCACAAGUUAUUUGACUAGUGAGUGUCUUGACUGUACCUCGUCACUACUCCAUCGAGAUUAGUCUUGAUACUUACUGGGUACCGACUAUGGUGUAUUCAAACUACACUUCUGCCCAUUUUUGUGCAGAGCGAGGUAAUUUGGAGUCAGUUGACCGCUAGCUAGUUUUAUAAAUCUUGAUGUGGAGAUUCAAGGUAAACCUGUUGAUGCGUUCGCAGGCUCCGGAAUCACCUUCUGAUAUUGUACUUGUACUGUUUUAUCUCUACUUCAAAACAGUUGUACUUAUAGGCUUUCCAGUAACUCAGUAGAACUUAUGACUUGUACUACCGGUUUUGGGAUUGUAAGUAUUGUAUAGAGAUUUCUACUUCGCAUGUGUCCAUCGUUAAUUAAUAUUGUUAUUAUUUCAGUAAAUGUUAGGCUUACCUAGUCCCUAGGAUUAGGUGUCAUCACGACAUCCUACGAUGAGAGAUUUGGGUCGUGACAUGUAUCCUCUCUAGUAUCCUGAACAAACACUAGUUGCUAGGUUUCAAUAUUAGCGGCUGACGCAAAUAUGCUAUUAAUUAGUAACUGAAUUCGUUCAUUGUUAAUUCAUGUUUUUUUAAUGUUAAGCGGUUCCAUAAUUACUUUACCAAAAAAACAAAUUACAAUUAAAGUUAUUAUAAUCAAUUUUGAGUUUAGAAACUUUCCCUUACUAAAGGUAUUUAUUAUCCAUGGUUAGUUAAACAUUUCUAGUGUUGAUUUUCUCUUCUUGUCAUCAUUCUAGUCAAUCUUAUUUUAUGCGGUUGAUAUGGAACGCGAAGAGCAUGUUGAGGACAGUAGGGUUGCUUACUUUUGAAAUGCACAAAAAUAUAAAAGAUCUCAAAUUUAUUUUUCAUGGGAUAAAGUCACGUAAUAACAUAAUAUUAAUAUCCAAAAAUUGAUAAUUAAAUAUAGGAGUGGGUUGCUCUAAUGGUAAGCACCCUCCACUUCCAACCGAGAGGUUGUGAGUUCGAGUCACCCCAAGAGUAAGGUGAGGAGUUCUUGGUGGGAGGGAGCCGGGGGUCUAUCGGAAACAGUCUCUCUACCCCAGGGUAGGGAUAAGGUCUGCGUACACACUAUCCCCCAAACCCCACUAGUGAGAUUAUACUGGGUUGUUGUUGUUGUUGAGAUUGCCAAACAUCAUAAUGAAUCAUGACCCAACGAGAGCUACUAUGAUCAACUAAAUUAAAUAGUAAACGAUGUGCUUUCAAGUGGAUAAGAGCUAUAAUGAUCAACUAAAUUAAGUUUGUCAAAAAUUACUCAACCUCAGCGAGGACCCAAACGAAGAUACGUGACGUCACCAUUGUGACGGACAAUCCAGAUGAAGCUUUGGGUGUAUCUAAUAACUAAAUUAAAUAAAAUACAUUCUUCUCUUCAUUGAUGACUUUAGUAUAAAGACUUGAGUUUAUUUCUUAAACCAAAAAUCUAAAGCUUUUCCUACUUUUAAAAAUUUCAAAGUACUUGUGGAGAAAGAAAGUGGCUAUGAUAUUAAAGCUUUAAGGUCCGAUAGAGGAGGCGAAUUCACUUUAAAAGAAUUUAAUAACUUAUGUCAGUCUCAUAGAAUUUGUCGCCCUCUAACGUUACCUCAUUCACCAGAACAAAAUGGAGUUGCAGAGAGAAAGAAUCGAAUGAUUCUUAAUAUGGAUAGAUGUAUGUUGAAAGCUAAAAGUAUGCCCAAGGAAUUUUGGGCCGAAGUUGUUUCUUGUGCAGUUUAUUUGAACAGGUCUCCAACAAGAAAUGUUAGAGAUCAAACUCCUCAAGAAGUAUGGAGUGGAAGAAAGCCAAGUGUCAAAUAUUUGAGAAUCUUUGGGAGCAUAGCCUAUGCUUUUGUGCCACAACAAGGGAGAGCAAAGGUUGACGAUCGAAGUGUCAAGCAUGUAUUUAUUGGCUAUGAUACGAGUUCAAAAGGAUAAAAGUUAUACAACCCAAGCAGCGGCUCUCACACCCCUUUUCUACCCCCUCCCCCCUACCCCCCCCCCAAAAAAAAAGAUAUAUGUUAUAGAUUAUUGUGGGUUAAAGAGUUUUUUCAAUUAAAGUGACAUUUUUGUAGUAGGGAUUAUUUUAUUAUUCAGAGUCGCCACUUGGAAUUUGAUUUUUGGGUAUUCCAAGUCACCUUUUAUUUGAAUCCCUAUUCAAAGUGUCACGGCCCAAAACCUAACCCGUUGUGAUGACGCCUAUCAGGCAAGCCGACAUCUCCAAAACACUUUCAACAUUUAACAGAAAUGAAUUAAUAUAUUUAAAAUAAUCGGAGUCUUUCAUAAAAAGGGGUAAAACCCAAAGCAUAAGUGCGGAAAAAUAGCCCGACAUCGGGGUGCCACUGAAUCAUGAGUAUCUAGAUAUCCAGUCUAAUACAAACAGUGUCUGAGUAUCAAUACUGAAAAGAAAGAAAACAUAGAAGGAGAGACAAGAUCUACGGACGUCGGCAGCUACCUCGUAGUCUCCGGUACUCGAUCGCGCACGAACUCAACGACCUCCACGAUCAAACACAUCUGGAUCUGCACAUGAAGUGCAUGGUGUAGCAUGAAUACAACCAACUCAGCAAGUAACAAAAAUAAAUAAGGAACUGAGAAGGUAGUGACGAGCUAUACAAAUACAGUUCAUUUUCACUAACUCCAGCAAAGAGUAGACAUGCUUUCAAAUCCGACAGUUCAAGUCAAAUCAGUUUAUACAGUUACAGUACAGGUAAUCCGGAUAUAGAAUCUUUUAAAAUUUUUACAACAAUGACAGAUAGCAACUAAGUGCAUCAACAAAUAAAAAAUAAGUACAGCUUUUCAGGACAACAGACACUCAACUCGUCACAACAACUCACUCACUCAGCUCUCAGCCCUCAGUACUCACACUCAAUAGAUACAUGUGCUCACUUGGGGUGUGCAGCCUCCGGAAGGGGCUCUUUUCAGCCCAAGCGCUAUAAUCUGCACGGACAACUCACGUACUGCACGGACAACUCACAUGUUAUCGUAUCAUAUCAAGAUCCGCACAGACAGAUCACGUGCUACAAUCUCAUAUCAGAAUUCGCACGGAAAACUCACGUGCUAAGUAUAAACAUCAUGAUUCGCACAGACAACUCACGUGCUACGAUAUCUAUACCUCACAACCAGGCCCUCGGCCUCACUCAGUCAUAUACCUCUGUAGCCUCACGGCCCUUGGAAAUCAUAAAGAUCAACCGAAACAGAAUAACAUAGUGUAUCAACAAGAAUCAAGAAGAGACUGAGAUAUGAUGCGCAAGUAAAACCAUAACCGAGUACAAGACAACAAAUAACAGUUAAUUCAACAAGUACUCGAUCGUUGCGGGUCCCAACAGUGAUAGUAUAUGGCCUAAGCAUGAUUUCUAACAUGAUUUUCAGUCAAAUCUCUAUAACACAGAGAGAACAGGUAAUUAACAAUAGUCUAUUCGAUUUUACAAUCUCACGGGACGGACUAAUUCACAAUCCUACACGGUGCACGCCCACACGCCUGUCACCUAGUAUGUGUGGCACCUCCAAAAUAAUAACAUCAUACCAAAAUUCGGGGUUUCAUACCCUCAGGACCAGAUUUAAAACUGUUACUUACCUCAAACCGCGCAAAAUAAAGAAUCUAUUCCACAAGAGAAACACGAAAUUAUAAGUCAAAAUCCGAAAUAGGCUCAAACCGGCCCCCGGGCCCACAUCUCAAAACUAGACAAAAGUCACAAAACCCGAAAGCCCAUUCACUAACGAGUCCAACCACACCAAAUUUAUCGAAAUCCGACAUCGUUUGCCCUUCCAAAACCCCAAAAUUCACUCUCUAAUACCCAAUCACUAAUCUCCCAAAUCUCACCUCAAACACUCACCAACUAGGUGUAAGAUCAAUGGGUAAAUACCAUUAUUAAAGAUAAAUAGGCACAAGGAACUUACCUCAGCAAACACUUCAAAAUCCUCUAAAAUUCGAGUUCCAAAAUGUGUAAAUGGUGAAAAAUCUCGAAGUCUUCAAUUUAUAGGUUCUGCCCAGCAAAGCCGCACCUGCGGACCUCCUGUCGCAUCUGCGACGCCGCACCUGCGGACAUUCCAUCUCAGGUGCGGAUCCCACUUAAGUUCCCAGAUUCUGCAUCUGCGGUCACAUAUUUGCACUUGCGGUCCCUGCCCGCUUCUGCGAUCCUUCCCACUCAAGCCUUUUUCCGCAUAUGCGCCUCCCCUUCCGCAUCUACGGUUUUAUAUAUGCGCCCCUAAGCUCGCACUUGCACUUCAAGUCCAACACAGCCUUACCCGCAUCUGCGUCCUCCUUUUCGCUUCUACGGGGCCGCACCUGCGGGCUCCCACCGCAGGUGCAAAACACCAGAAGAAACCAGCAAUUCCUAAGUCCAAAUUUCCUUCCUAUGGGCAUCCGAAAAACCCUCGAGGCUCCCAGGACCUCAACUAAACAUACCAACAAGUCAUAUAACCCCAUGCAAACUUAGCCAAGACUUCGAAUCACUCAAAACAACAUUAAAACACCAAUUACAUCGGGAUUUAAGCCUAAAGAACUUCUAAACUUUCAAAUUCCACAAACGACGUUGAAACCUACCAAACCACGUCCGAUUGACCUCAAAUUUUGUACCCAAGUCAUAUUCAACAUUAUGGACCUACUCCAACUUCCGGAAUUGGAAUCUGACCCUGAUAUCAAAAAGUCGACCCCCUGGUCAAACUUUCCAACAAUUCGAUUUUCGCUAUUUCAAGCCUAAAUUAGCUACAGACCUCAAAUUCAUAGUCCGGACACGCUUCUAAGUCCAAAAUUACCCAACGGAGCUAAUGGAGAUGACGGAACUCCAUUCUGGAGUUGUUUUCACACACUUCCGUCGACGGUCAAAAUCUUGAGACUUAAGUUUCCAUUUUAGGGACUAAGAGUCCCAAAACAUUCUGAAACCAAAAACAAGACCUCCCGGCAAGUCACAUAAGUAGAAACAGAUUGGUGGGAAACAGUAAAUAGGGGAUCAGGGCUAAUACACUCAAAAUGACCGUCCGGGUCAUUACAUCCUCGUCCUCUUAAAACAAUCAUUCGUCCUCGAAUGAGCAUAUAGACAUACCUGAAGUGGUGAAAAGAUGAGGAUAACGGCUGCGCACAUCAUGCUUGGUCUCCCAAGUCACCUCCUCGAUCGGCUGACCCCUCCACUGAACCUUUACAGAAGCAAUAUUCUUCGACCUCAGCUUUCUAACCUGCCUAUGUAAGAUCUCCACCGGCUCCUCAACAUGAGAUAAAUCCUUAUCCAACUAGACUGAGCUGAAAUCCAAUACGUGUGACAGAUAGCUGUGAUACUUCCGGAGCAUAAAAAUAUGGAAUAUUGGAUGAACUCCUGCUAGACUGGGAGGCAAGGCAAGCUCAUAAGCAACCUCCCCAAUAUGUCGAAUACCUCAAAUGGACCGAUAAACCUUGGGCUCAGCUUGCCCUUAUUUCUGAACCUCACAACACUCUUCAUGGGUGACACUCGGAGCAAGACCCGCUCUCCAACCAUGAAUGCAACAUCGCGAAUCUUCCGAUUCUCAUAACUCUUAUGUCUGGACUGGGAUGUGUGUAGUCUAUCCUGUAUCACCCUAACCUUCUCCAGAGCAUCCUGAACCGAGUCUGUACCCAAUAAUGUAGCCUCGUACGGCUCGAACCAACCUACUGGAGACCUACACCGCCUACAAUACAGGUCCUCAUACAGUGCCAUCUGGAUGCUCGACUGGUAACUGUUGUAAGCAAACUCCGCUAGAGGCAAGAACUGAUCCCACGAACCUCCAAACUCCAUCACACACGCACAGAUCAUAUCCUCUAAUAUUUGAAUAGUGCGCUCGGACUGUCCAUCCGUCUGAGGGUGAAAUGUUGUGCUCAACUCCACUCGAGUACCCAAGUCAUGAUGUACGGCCCUCCAGAACCAUGAUGUAAACUACGUACCCUGGUAAAAAAUGAUAGAUAUCGGUAUGCCAUGAAGCCUGACGAUCUCGCGGAUAUACACUCGAGCCAACUGCUCGCAAGAAUAGGUAGUCAUCAUAGGAAUGAAAUGAGCUGACUUGGUGAACCAGUCCACAAUCAACCAAACUGCAUCAAACUUCUACUGAGUCCAUGGAAGCCCAACAACAAAAUCCAUAAUGAUCCGCUCCCAUUUCCACUCCGGAAUCUUUAAAUUCUGAAGCAACCCACAUGGUCGCUGAUGCUCAUACUUCACCUGCUGGCAAUUUAGGCAUCGAGCUACAUACUCCACUAUGUACUUCUUCAUUCUCCUCCAUCAGUAAUGCUGCCUCAAAUUCUGAUACAUCUUCGCAGCACCAGGAUGAAUAGAAUACCACGAACUGUGAGUCUCUUAGAGAAUCAGCUCAUACAAACCAUCUACAUUGGGCACACAUAGCCUGCCCUGCAUCAUCAAUGCACCAUCAUCGCCAAUAGUGAUAUUCUUAGCAUCACCGUGCUGGACCGUGUCCUUAAGGAAAAGCAGAAGGGGGUCAUCAUAGUGACGGUCCCUGAUACGAUCAUAAAGUGAAUAUCGAGAGAUCACACAAGCCAAUACUCGACUCGGCUCAGAAACAACCAAUCUAACAAACUGGCUAGCUAACGCCUGGACAUCCAAUGCAAAUGGCCUCUCUGUUGCUGGAAGAUAUGCUAAGCUCCCCAAACUCUCUACCCGGUGACUCAAGGCAUCGGCCACCACAUUGGCCUUCCAUGGAUGGUACAAAAUGGUGAUAUCAUAGUCCUUAAGAAGCUCCAACCACCUCCACUGACGCAAGUUAAUAACCUUCUGUUUGAACAGAUGGUGCAAACUCCGAUGAUCAGUGUAAAUCUCACAAUGGACCCCGUACAAAUAGUGCUGCCAAAUCUUCAAGGCGUGAACAAUAGCUGCUAACUCAAGGUCGUGGACAUGAUAGUUCUUCUAAUGGGGCUUCAACUGGCACGAGGCAUAAGCAAUCACUCUACCCUCCUGCAUCAGAACACAUCCAAUGCCGAUCCGCGACGCAUCACAAUACACUGUGUAAGAACCAGAAAUUGAUGGUAGGACUAGAAUUGGUUGUGAUAAGAACCAGAAAUUGAUGGUAGGACUAGAAUUGGAGCCGUGGUCAAAGCAGUCUUGAGCUUAUGAAAGCUCUCCUCACUCUCAUCCUACCACCUGAAAGGAGCACCCUUCUGGGUUAAUUUAGUCAAGGGCGAUUCAAUAGAUGAGAAACCAUCCACAAAAUGACGGUAAUAGCCUGCCAACCCAAGAAAGCUCCGAAUCUCUAUGGCUGAGGACGGUCUGGGCCAACUCUGCAGCGCUUAUAUCUUCUUUGGAACCACCUAAAUACCCUCACUGGACACCACGUGCCCCAACAACGCCACUGAAAUUAGCCAAAACUUAUACUUGGAGAACUUUACAUAAAGCUUCUCCUACCUCAAUCGCUGUAACACAAUCCUCAUAUGCUAAGCAUGCUCCUCCUUGCUACGAGAGUACACCAAGAUGUCAUCAAUGAAUAAAAUAACGAACGAGUCAAGAUAAGGCUGAAACACACUGUUCAUCUGAUGCAUGAAUGUUGUUGGGGUGUUGGUCAGCCCAAAAGACAUCACAAAGAACUCAUAAUGGCCAUAUCGGGUUUUGAAAGCUGUUUUAAGAAUACUUGAGUCCCAAAUCAUUAGAUGGUGAUACCCUGACCUCAAGUAAAUCUUGGAGAACACCAUCGCUCUCUGAAUCUAGUCUAACAAAUCAUCAAUACGCCGCAAAGGAUACUUGUUCUUGAUUGUGACCUUGUUUAACUGUCUGUAAUCAAUGCACAUUCUCAUAGUACCAUCAUUCUUCUUCACAAAUAGAACUGGUGCACCCCAAGUUCACACGCUAGACCGAAUAAACCCCUUAUCAAGGAGUUCCUAAAGCUGCUCCCUUAACUCCUUCAACUCAGCUGGUGCCAUACAGUACGGUGGAAUAGAAAUGGGCUGAGUGCCUGAUACCAAAUCAAUACCGAAAUCAAUGUCCCUGUCAGGCGGCAUGCCCGGCAAGUCUGCAGGAAACACAUCCGAGAAAUCAUACACCACAGGAACAGAAUCAAUAGCAGGGAUCUCUGCACUAACAUCCCUCACAAAAGCCAAAUAGGAUAGAUAGCCCUUCUCAACCAUCCGAUGAGCCUUCAAGUAUGAAAUCACUCUACUAGGAACAUAGUCUAUAGAACCGCUACACUCAACCCUCGGCAACCCCGACAUCGCCAACAUCACAGUCUUAGCGUGACAGUCUAGAAUAACAUGACAUGGAGACAACCAAUCCAUACCCAAAAUCACGUCAAAAUCGACCAUACUAAGCAACAAGAGAUCCACUCUAGUCUCUAGACUCCUAAUAGUCACCACACAUGACCGAUAUACACAAUUCACAAUAAUAGUAUCGCCCACCAGAGUAGAUACAUGAAUAGAUGAAUCUCAAGACUCACGUGGCAUAUCCAGAAAACGAGCGAAAUACGAUGAUACAUAUGAAUAAGUGGAACCAGAGUCAAAUAAUACAGAGGCAUAUCUAUGGCAAAUUGAGACAAUACCUGUAAUCACAGCAUCCGAAGCAAUAAUAUCUGGUCUGGAAGGGAGAGCAUAGAAACGGGCCUGGCCAACCCCUGAUCGGCCACCCCAUCUUGGGCGACCCCUUGCUGACUGAGUCCCACCUCGAGCUGGCUGGACGGGUGGUGGAGCUUCUGGUGCUGGUGCCAUCGGCCGAGUACUCUGCUGUGGAGCCCCACUCAACAACCUAGGGCAAUCUC